UGAACGCUGGCGGCGUGCCUAACUCAUGCAAGUCGGACGGUGCUGGAGGUGAACUUUUCGGAUGGAACCUUUACCAUAGUGGCGGACGGGUGAGUAACUCGUGGACUACCUGCCUCACAGUGGGGGAUCGCAGCUGGAAACGGCUGGUAAUACCGCAUACGCCUUUCUUUCCGCAUGGAGGGGAAGGGAAAAGAUUUAUCGCUGAAAGAUGGCCUCGCGUCUGAUUAGCUGGUUGGUGAGGUAACGGCCCACCAAGGCGACGAUCAGUAGCCGGACUGAGAGGUUGAACGGCCACAUUGGGACUGAGAUACGGCCCAGACUCCUACGGGAGGCAGCAGUGGGGAAUAUUGGGCAAUGGGCGAAAGCCUGACCCAGCAACGCCGCGUGAAGGAAGAAGGUUUUCGGAUUGUAAACUUCUGUCCUAUGUGAAGAGUGGUAGACGGUAGCAUAGGAGGAAGCCCCGGCUAACUACGUGCCAGCAGCCGCGGUAAUACGGGGGAUGCAAGCGUUGUCCGGAAUCAUUGGGCGUAAAGAGUUCGUAGGUGGUUUGUUAAGUUUGGUGUUAAAAGCAGGGGCUCAACUUCUGUAGGGCAUCGGAUACUGGCAGACUUGAAUGCUGUAGAGGUAAAGGGAAUUCCUGGUGUAGCGGUGAAAUGCGUAGAUAUCAGGAGGAACAUCGGUGGCGAAAGCGCUUUACUGGGCAGUUAUUGACACUGAGGAACGAAAGCCGGGGUAGCAAAUGGGAUUAGAUACCCCAGUAGUCCCGGGCUGUAAACGAUGGAUACUAGGUGUUGCGGGUAUCGACCCCUGCAGUGCCGAAGCCAACGCGAUAAGUAUCCCGCCUGGGGAGUACGCACGCAAGUGUGAAACUCAAAGGAAUUGACGGGGACCCGCACAAGCGGUGGAACAUGUGGUUUAAUUCGAAGCAACGCGAAGAACCUUACCAGGGCUUGACAUCUAACGAACCUUGAUGAAAGUCGAGGGUGCUUUUCGGAGAACGUUAAGACAGGUGGUGCACGGUUGUCGUCAGCUCGUGUCGUGAGAUGUUGGGUUAAGUCCCGCAACGAGCGCAACCCACGUUGUCAGUUGGUAUUAUUGGUAUACUGAUAAUAACCUCUCUGGCGAGACUGCCGGUGAUAAACCGGAGGAAGGUGUGGACGACGUCAAAUCAUCAUGCCCCUUAUGCUCUGGGCUACACACGUGUUACAAUGGUCGGUACAACGAGUAGCGAACUCGCGAGGGUAAGCAAAUCUCUAAAAGCCGGUCUCAGUUCGGAUUGCACUCUGCAACUCGAGUGCAUGAAGUCGGAAUCGCUAGUAAACGCAGAUCAGCACGCUGCGUUGAAUACGUUCCCGGGUCUUGCACUCACCGCCCGUCA
rnacentral:rRNA from 1 species